rnacentral:rRNA from 1 species
UACAGAGGUCCCAAGCGUUGUUCGGAUUUACUGGGCGUAAAGGGUGCGUAGGCGGUCGGGUAAGUCUCAUGUGAAAUCUCCAAGCUCAACUUGGAAAUGGCAUGGGAUACUAUUCGGCUAGAGGAUUGGAGGGGGGACUGGAAUUCCCGGUGUAGCAGUGAAAUGCGUAGAGAUCAGGAGGAACACCCGUGGCGAAGGCGGCUCCCUGGUCCGUCCCUGACGCUGAGACGCGAAAGCGUGGGGAGCGAUCCGG